CUUGAUCGGAAAGCAUGGUACUCGCACUCGUCUUCAUAAUUGCGUCUCCUCUGGUUUCAAGUUAGCCUUUGAAAGCAUCGUUGCUGCUGAAGGCCUCAGUGCAGUGGAGCUGGUGAAGGGAUAGCUCGAUGGAAACAGAGAGGAGAGGAAUGACGAGACGGGCCUGAGGGACUUCAGCUCUGGCUGUUCCAACGCGACGUCGAUGUCUUUGAUAACGGAGCAGGUUCUGCUAGUCGGGAGAGUGGUGGAGAAACCAAAGGUACAGGCGCCCCCUGGUGGACGACGGGGGGGCUGGCGCUGUCCCAGUGAGAGGCCAUUAGAUCUAG
ensembl:lncRNA